GCACAUUAUUUCUGGUAUCUGCUACUUUUAGGAGCUGAAGGUUGGAAACUGUUUAUGUACUGUCUGAGGCAUACAACCCUGUCUACUCUCAGGUAUCAUUGUCACCCUGAGAUGGGUCAGGUUUGGUUGCCUCGGACUGUACAAUGCAUAUACCUGCGGCACCCUUCCCGUGGUCUGUCUCCGAAAACAAUGAAC
rnacentral:pre_miRNA from 1 species